UACGGGGGGGGCAAGCGUUGUUCGGAAUUACUGGGCGUAAAGGGCUCGUAGGCGGCCAACUAAGUCGGAUGUGAAAUCCCCAGGCUUAACCUGGGAAUUGCAUCCGAUACUGGAUGGCUUGAAUCCGGGAGAGGGAUGCGGAAUUCCAGGUGUAGCGGUGAAAUGCGUAGAUAUCUGGAGGAACACCGGUGGCGAAGGCGGCAUCCUGGACCGGCAUUGACGCCGUGGGGAGCGAAAGCCAGGGGA
rnacentral:rRNA from 1 species